rnacentral:rRNA from 1 species
UACGUAGGGUCCGAGCGUUAAUCGGAAUUACUGGGCGUAAAGCGUGCGCAGGCGGUUUUGUAAGCCAGAUGUGAAAGCCCCGGGCUCAACCUGGGAACUGCAUUUGGGACUGCAAGGCUGGAGUACGGCAGAGGGAGGUGGAAUUCCACGUGUAGCAGUGAAAUGCGUAGAGAUGUGGAGGAACACCGAUGGCGAAGGCAGCCUCCUGGGCUAGUACUGACGCUCAUGCACGAAAGCGUGGGGAGCAAACAGGA